UUGCCUACGGGACGCAGCAGUGAGGAAUAUUGGUCAAUGGGCGGGAGCCUGAACCAGCCAAGCCGCGUGAAGGAAGAAGGCUUUCGGGUUGUAAACUUCUUUUGUCAGGGACGAAGCAAGUGACGGUACCUGACGAAUAAGCCACGGCUAACUACGUGCCAGCAGCCGCGGUAAUACGUAGGUGGCAAGCGUUAUCCGGAUUUAUUGGGUGUAAAGGGCGUGUAGGCGGGAAUGCAAGUCAGAUGUGAAAACUAUGGGCUCAACCCAUAGCCUGCAUUUGAAACUGUAUUUCUUGAGUGCUGGAG
rnacentral:rRNA from 1 species